rfam:Schistosoma curassoni strain Dakar, Senegal genome assembly, scaffold: SCTD_scaffold0001920
AUCCAGCUGACGAGUCGCGAAUAGAACGAAACGCGCAUCCUGGAU